GGUCUGGUGGUCUAGUGGUAUGAUUCUCGCUUAGGGUUCACCCUACAGCUUAAUUGCGAGAGGUCCCGGGUUCAAUCCCCGGCCAGACCC